AGAAAUAAACCCUUGUUGUUUUAAGCCAUUCUGUUUUGGGGAUGUUUGUUACUACAACAUAACCAAACUAAAAUACCUCACCUAUGGAUAAUGAGUGGUAACAUGUCAGGUUGUAGAUGAAGUACCUGGCAAGCAUGUCAGAAUUCUGAGCUGCCACUGGAUGAGAAACUUCCAUGUCAGAGAAUCCUUUCUCCUUCCUACAUGGAGAGGUGCCCUAGGGUGAAAUGCUUCAGUGGAAAUUCUCCUUCGAUUAUGAAGUUGCAAAGUCUGUCCUUCGGUCUGCCAACUUUUCCUUCUUACUAUCUGUCAAAUCCUGAUUUAUUCAGAAAAAAGUGCCAGCUCAAAUGUAAGACUUAAAACUAAUAAAGAGGUUCCGGGAUUAGUUCAUCAACCCAGAGCAAAGUACAUCACAAUUGGAAAGUUAAA
rnacentral:lncRNA from 10 species